rnacentral:lncRNA from 1 species
AAUCACCACUCACGCGCCGCACGUACAAUAGGCAACAAGCACACCGAAAGACAUGAACACAAGAGAGUUGCACCAAUCGAGUGUCCAAAUUCUGUCAGCGCACCGCACUACGCCGCUAAGCGCGGAAAAACCGAGAAGGGACAUGGGGCACCCCGCGCACCACAGCAUAAGCAACGAGAGCACCGAAACGAGCGGAACACGUGAGACUAAUGUCGAUCGUGAGCAUUCCACUACCAUCGGCACGCCGCACCCAUGCAGCUUAGCACGAGAAACCCGUGAGGGGCCGACCGAGGGCACCGCGCACCGCGGCAUAAGCAUCUAGCGCACCGAAACGAGCGGAACACGUGAGACUAACGUCGAUCGAGAGCAUUCCACUUCCAUCGGCACGCCGCACCCAUGCAGCUUAGCGCGGUAAACCCGAGAGGGACCGAGGGCACCGCGCACCGCGGCAUAAGCAACUAGCGCACCGAAACGAGCGGAACACGUGAGACUAACGUCGAUCGAGAGCAUUCCACUACCAUCGGCACGCCGCACCCAUGCAGCUUAGCGCGGUAAACACGAGAGGGACCGAGGGCACCGCGCACCGCGGCAUAAGCAACUAGCGCACCGAAACGAGCGGAACACGUGAGACUAACGUCGAUCGAGAGCAUUCCACUACCAUCGGCACGCCGCACCCAUGCAGCUUAGCGCGGUAAACCCGAGAGGGACCGAGGGCACCGCGCACCGCGGCAUAAGCAUCUAGCGCACCGAAACGAGCGGAACACGUGAGACUAAUGUCGAUCGAGAGCAUUCCACUACCAUCGGCACGCCGCACCCAUGCAGCUUAGCGCGAUAAACCCGAGAGGGACCGAGGGCACCGCGCACCGCGGCAUAAGCAACUAGCGCACCGAACCGAGCG